rnacentral:sRNA from 1 species
UUCGCAUCGGCUGCGGCUUCAUCUGGAUU